rnacentral:misc_RNA from 1 species
GCAAACUUGGUCAUUUAGAGGAAGUAAAAGUCGUAACAAGGUUUCCGUAGGUGAACCUGCGGAAGGAUCAUUAAAAAGAUCGACCUCUUCUUGAUAUGGACGAUCGAAUCCAUAUCCACCUUGUGUGCACCGACUGACCGUUCGCUUUGGCAGGAGGAGUCUUGGAAUAUGAUUUUCCAAGCGAGGUUCUUUUUUUUUAAAAAGAACCUUGGCCUGCCAGAGUUUUUAUUUUUUUAAAAGACGCUUCUUCAUCUUCCAAAGAAUGAAACCUUCCAUCUCGAUUCUCUGUAAUCGAUUGAACCAAAUACAACUUUCAACAACGGAUCUCUUGGCUCUCGCAUCGAUGAAGAACGCAGC